rfam:Gossypium hirsutum cultivar TM-1 chromosome 2, whole genome shotgun sequence
AACCCAUGGUCAGAGCACCUUCUUAAUAAGUCCUUGUAUUUCUCCCAUGCAUCAUAAAGAGUUUCUAGAUCCAUCUGCACAAAAGAAGAGAUAUCAUUCCUCAGCCA